rnacentral:rRNA from 1 species
AUGGAGGCCGGCGGUAGUAGUAGGAGGAGUGAGACUACCAGCAGGAAGAGGAAGUCAGCUGCACUCGAGGGCGAGGGCAAUCCGGCUCCGGCGCCGGCGCCGGCGGCUGCGCCCGAUCCCGGAGCGGCUGACCACGAUGGUUGUGGAGGCGGGCGAGAUCUCCACUUCAGCGACCUCCCCGACGACGUACUCCGGAAGAUUAUUUCGGUCCUCCCCAUGAAGCAACGCGGUCGCACGCAGAUCCUCGCGAAACGGUGGCUUCCCCUCUGGCGCUCUCUUCCUCUCAACAUCGACUGCGGUGAAAUCGCCCGUUCUAAUCAUGGUCAGGUCGGUGAUGUGUUACAACGCAUAAUUUCCUCCCACCAAGGCGACUGCCACCGCUUCUGCAUUCGCCCAUUCUUGGCCACGAACAUGGAGAACGAUGCUGCCGUGGACGCCUGUCUCCUGUCCCCCGCUCUGAAUAAACUCAAGGAGCUUGAGUUCAACCGUCGGCCGUGGCACAAUUGGCAGCGGGUGCCGCCACCGACAUCUAUCUUCCGUUUUUCGCUCACCCUCUGUGUCGCCCAAUUCAAGGGCUUCACUUCCCGCAGAUUAAGAAGCUCGGUAUUGAUUAUGUCUUCCUCUCGGAGUUCUCACUCAGCAGCAUGA